rnacentral:rRNA from 1 species
AGAGUUAAACAGUACGUGAAAUUGUUGAAAGGGAAACGAUUGAAGUCAGUCAUGUUGGUAGGGAAUCAACUUGAUAGUAUGCGGGUUUACUCGUGUCCUUUCUGGUGCACUUCCUUACUUACAGGUUAGCAUCAAUUUCGGUUUUCAUAUAAAAAUUGAGGGAAGGUGGCUUUUCUUCGGAAAAGUGUUAUAGACCUCGAUAAAUGUGGUGACUGGGAUUGAGGAUUGCAGCGGAUACCCUUUGGGCUAGUCACCUGGCAUCUGAUGGUUAUCCCGUCUUCGAUAGCUUGCUAACGUUGGUGGGACUCGAUUGUCUAGAUGUUAGAUUGAUCAUAAAUUCGCUAAGGAUGCUUACGUAAUGGCUUUAAACGACC